GUAGGUGGCGAGCGUUGUCCGGAUUUACUGGGCGUAAAGAGCGCGCAGGCGGUCGUGCAAGUCGCGUGUGAAAGCCCCCGGCUCAACUGGGGAGGGUCACGCGAUACUGCUCGACUUGAAGGCAGGAGAGGGAAGUGGAAUUCCCGGUGUAGUGGUGAAAUGCGUAGAUAUCGGGAGGAACACCAGUGGCGAAGGCGACUUCCUGGCCUGUUCUUGACGCUGAGGCGCGAAAGCUAGGGUAGCAAACGGGAUUAGAUACCCCGGUAGUCCUAGCCGUAAACGAUGGACACUAGGUGUUGGUGGUAUCAACCCCGCCAGUGCCGUAGCUAACGCAUUAAGUGUCCCGCCUGGGGAGUACGGCCGCAAGGCUA
rnacentral:rRNA from 1 species